rnacentral:rRNA from 1 species
UACGGGGGGGCAAGCGUUGUUCGGAAUUCCUGGGCGUAAAGGGCUCGUAGGCGGCCAACUAAGUCAGACGUGAAAUCCCCCGGCUUAACCAGGGAACUGCGUCUGAUACUGGAUGGCUUGAGUUUGGGAGAGGGAUGCGGAAUUCCAGGUGUAGCGGUGAAAUGCGUAGAUAUCUGGAGGAACACCGGUGGCGAAGGCGACAUCCUGGACCAACACUGACGCUGAGUGAGCGAAAGCCAGGGGAGCAAACGGG